CCUGGCACUAUGAGGAAUAAAAUUAAAUGAACCAUGGAGGUCAGAAGACUAAUGACAUCAAAUCUAAAGGCCUUUUAUGUUCUGAGUGCCUA
rnacentral:snoRNA from 1 species